UCACUUGUAGUCACGGGCUCGUGCGGUUUGGUUGCCCCAGUAUCACCUUCCAUCUGCCAGAUUUUGCCCGCCGCCUUGGCAGUUCGAAGUACAGCCGUUGUUGUUAUUCACGAUUAACCGACUCGUCAACAAGAAGAGCAUGAACUUCGCCUCAGAAGUACCAUUUCAUAAUAUAUUGCUGAUUGCUGUAAUUAAGCAUCGCUGCAGCAGUGAAGUUUGACAGUUAUAUUUUUUUUAAACGUGAUUUGGGUUACCACGUUCAGUGACUGCACGAGACCCCUAUCGACCUCGGGGCUUUUGUUUAGAUGGCUAAUGGGAUUUGAGAAUCCGCUUCCGGGUGCUAUAAUAAACCUUAACUUGGUGGCCAAAGUGGACCAAUCAUGUGAACGCGGAACUCAAUGCCUGGUUCCUAGACGACGGAACCCUGGGCGGUGCACCGACGACGGUUGCUGAUUGUUUCCGCCGACUUAUUGAAGGCGCGCUUGCUGUCGGUUUGCAAGUUAACGAGGCUAAAUGCGAACUGCUGGUAUUUGGUGGGUCAUCUGAAUCGCAGCGCGAUGUCACAGCGGAAUUCUCGAGCGUUACCCACAACUACGUAUUCUGACGGAAUCCACCAUGUCUUUACUCGGUGCACUCGUACUGGAUGAAGCAAUCGGGCCUGUACUGAACGAGAAGGCCAGUACCUUGAAGUUGAUGUGUGAACGACUUCAGUUACUACCUGGUCAUCAAGCCUUGUUUCUCCUUAAAAAUUGUCUCGGCGCCCCGAAAAUUAUCUACAUGUUGCGGUACUGUAAUGCAUGGAAAUACCCCGCAUUACUAUAUCAGCUGGACGAAGCAAUGCGCUGCUGUUUCCAGAAUUUGUCGAAUGUACUGACUAAUCACAACGACUACCCGCCUUGGCGUCAAGCAACGUUACCGGUUAGCAGAGGUGGAAUCGGCAUCCGCCGGUCGGAAGAAUUAUCCCUUCCAGCCUUCCUGGCUUCGAUUCAUUCCGUAUCCGGUUUGCUAUCCGCACUGCUGCCUAACCACGCCGCUGCUGACGUCACUGGUGCCUCGGAGUCAUGGAAAUUAAAAGCCCGUCAACCCGUACUCCCGGAAGCUGCAUUUCGGAAGUCCCAAAAGGCCUGAGACUUGCCAUUAUUCAACGUGUCUCUUGCGGCCCUGCUGGAGGUGUUUCAAGACGAAGUCAACACAGCGCGCCUGCUUGCCCAGUCCAGACCAGAGGCCGGCAUCUGGUUGAACGCAUUACCGUCCGCUCACAUCGGUAAUCUACUGGGCGAUGACGAACUGAAGAUCAGCAUCGGCCGCCGUCUCGGUGCUACAAUUUGUGAACCCCACGACUGCGUCAAGUGCCACAAACCUGUUGGUUUUUUACGGGCACCACGGGCUGUCAUGUGCCUUUUCCGCCGGGCUGCAUCCACGUCACGGCGCGUUGAACAGCAUUGUCUGCAGAGCCUUUGUAUCCGCUGGUGUGCCCGGGAAACUGGAGCCGCAAGGCACCUCUCACACCAAUGAACGCCGCCCAGAUGGCUGCACGACUUUUGCAUGGAAACGCGGAUUAUGCCUCGCUUGGGACGUGACCUGUGUAGACACUGUUACGCUUUCACAUGUCAAGGCCACUUCCACCACAGCCGGAGCGGCCGCCAUGCAAGCAGAGUUACGGAAAUCAGGACUAUAUUCCUCUGGUCGGCCGCUAACUAUUCGUCCCGAUCGCCUUCGAAACACUGGACCCGUGGGGACCGUCGGCGAUCGCCAUCAUCAAAGAACUGGGAAAAAGACUGCAGCAGCACACCGGAGAAGCACGCUCGCACGAAUUUCUGCGGCAGCGAUUGUCCAUAGAAAUUCAACGGGGAAAUGCGGCGUCAGUGCUGGGCACGAUGGAAGGACUGGAUAAGCUGAACGAAAUUUUUCUGUUAUAGUUUAGCGUGUUUUCUUUUCUUCAAAUUGGUGUAUUGAGGCACUGAUUUGACCAAUAAAGUAAUGAAUAUCGUAUGACAUUCUGACUACAGGAUGCACGCAAACAAUGGAAAAAAAUUAUUUGUCGGUGCACGAAAGCUGAAAUGCAUAAUACAAAUGUAUAAACUCAUGUUACUUUGA